rnacentral:misc_RNA from 1 species
UCAAACUUGGUCAUUUAGAGGAAGUAAAAGUCGUAACAAGGUUUCCGUAGGUGAACCUGCGGAAGGAUCAUUACCGAAUCGUCGACAGCAGCUGUUGCUGGUCCUCCUAGAGGGGACAUGUGCACGCUCUGUUUACACAUCCACUCACACCUGUGCACUUUCUGUAGUCCUGUGGUAUGGGAGACCCUGUCUUCCUUCUGUAGGCCUGCUCUUUUACAUACACUCUUUAACAAAGUAUCAUGGAAUGUGGUUCUGCGUUUAACGCGAUACAGUACAACUUUCAGCAACGGAUCUCUUGGCUCUCGCAUCAAUGAAGAACGCAGC